UCGAGGAUCUUCGGCAAUGGGCGCAAGCCUGACCGAGCGACGCCGCGUGUGUGAUGAAGGCCUUCGGGUUGUAAAGCACUGUCGAGGGGGAGGAAGCCGAAAGGUUGACCUAUCCCUGGAGGAAGGACGGGCUAAGUUCGUGCCAGCAGCCGCGGUAAGACGAACCGUCCUAACGUUGUUCGGAAUCACUGGGCUUAAAGGGCGCGUAGGCGGGCGAUCAAGUCAGGGGUGAAAUCUUUCGGCUUAACCGGAAAACGGCCCCUGAUACUGAUUGUCUUGAGGGAGGUAGGGGUAUGUGGAACUUCUGGUGGAGCGGUGAAAUGCGUUGAUAUCAGAAGGAACGCCGGUGGCGAAAGCGACGUACUGGACCUCUUCUGACGCUGAGGCGCGAAAGCUAGGGUAGCGAACGG
rnacentral:rRNA from 1 species